rnacentral:rRNA from 1 species
AUUGAACGCUGGCGGCAGGCCUAACACAUGCAAGUCGAACGAGCGGCGGACGGGUGAGUAAUGUAUGGGGAACUGCCCGAUGGAGGGGGAUAACUACUGGAAACGGUGGCUAAUACCGCAUACUUUCGGAUGUGCCCAUAUGGGAUUAGCUAGUAGGUGAGGUAAUGGCUUACCUAGGCGACGAUCCCUAGCUGGUCUGAGAGGAUGACCAGCCACACGGGAACUGAGACACGGUCCAGACUCCUACGGUAGGCAGCAGUGGGGAAUAUUGCACAAUGGGCGCAAGCCUGAUGCAGCCAUGCCGCGUGUAUGAAGAAGGCCUUAGGGUUGUAAAGUACUUUCAGCGGGGAGGCGUUACCGGCAGAAGAAGCACCGGCUAACUCCGUGCCAGCAGCCGCGGUAAUUC